CAAUAGCGUAUAUUAAAGUUGUUGCAGUUAAAAAGCUCGUAGUUGUAAUGAGGGCGCAAGCCCAGUGUAUACGGAACUCACUUGGCAUUAAGUUGUCUUGGGUGGAACGUGUAUAUUUUACUGUGAACAAAUUAGGGUGUUAAAAGCAGGCAUACGCUUGAAUACAUUAGCAUGGAAUAAUGAGAAAUAACUAAGUUUGUCUCGUUGGUGACUUACCUAGUGAUGAUUGAAAGAAACAGUUGUGGGUAUUCGUAUGGGAAUGUCAGAGGUGAAAUUCUUGGAUCUUUACCAGACGAACUACUGCGAAAGCAUUUACCAAGGAUGUUUUCAUUAA
rnacentral:rRNA from 1 species